UUGGAGGGCAAGUCUGGUGCCAGCAGCCGCGGUAAUUCCAGCUCCAAUAGCGUAUAUUAAAGUUGUUGCAGUUAAAAAGCUCGUAGUUGAAUUUCGAGACCGGUUUAUUGGUCGUGCUUUUGUACGUACUGGUAUUAUUGGUUUCUCCUUUCUGACGAAUCUUAAUGCCAUUAAUUUGGUGUUUUGGGGAAUCAGGACUGUUACUUUGAAAAAAUUAGAGUGUUUAAAGCAGGCUCACGCUUGAAUACAUUAGCAUGGAAUAAUGAAAUAGGACAUCGCAUUCUAUUUUGUUGGUUUCUAGGAUCGAUGUAAUGAUUAAUAGGGAUAGUUGGGGGCAUUAGUAUUCAAUUGUCAGAGGUGAAAUUCUUGGAUUUAUUGAAGACUAACUACUGCGAAAGCAUUUGCCAAGGAUGUUUUCAUUAAUCAAGAACGAAAGUUAGGGGAUCGAAGACGAUCAGAUACCGUCGUAGUCUUAACCAUAAACUAUGCCGACUAGGGAUCGGAUGAUGUUGAUUUUUUAAUGACUCAUUCGGCGCCUUACGGGAAAC
rnacentral:rRNA from 1 species